CAGCCGCCGCGGUAACACGAAGGGUGCAAGCGUUAAUCGGAAUUACUGGGCGUAAAGCGUGCGUAGGCGGUUUGUUAAGUCUGUUGUGAAAUCCCCGGGCUCAACCUGGGAAUGGCAAUGGAUACUGGCAAGCUAGAGUGUGUCAGAGGAUGGUGGAAUUCCCGGUGUAGCGGUGAAAUGCGUAGAGAUCGGGAGGAACAUCAGUGGCGAAGGCGGCCAUCUGGGACAACACUGACGCUGAGGCACGAAAGCGUGGGGAGCAAACAGGAUUAGAUACCCGGGUAGUCCCUGUCUCUUAUAC
rnacentral:rRNA from 1 species